AGUGAACGCUGGCGGUAGGCCUAACACAUGCAAGUCGAACGGCAGCACAGUAAGAGCUUGCUCUUACGGGUGGCGAGUGGCGGACGGGUGAGGAAUACAUCGGAAUCUACUUUUUCGUGGGGGAUAACGUAGGGAAACUACGCUAAAAACCGCAUACGCCUUCGGGGGAAAACCAGGGGAUUUUCGGACCUUGCGCGAUGGAUGAGGCCGAUGUCGGAUUAGCUAGUUGGCGGGGUAAAGGCCCACCAAGGCGACGAUCCGUAGCUGGUCUGAGAGGAUGAUCAGCCACACUGGAACUGAGACACGGUCCAGACUCCUACGGGAGGCAGCAGUGGGGAAUAUUGGACAAUGGGCGCAAGCCUGAUCCAGCCAUACCGCGUGGGUGAAGAAGGCCUUCGGGUUGUAAAGCCCUUUUGUUGGGAAAGAAAAGCAGCAGGUUAAUACCCCGCUGUUCUGACGGUACCCAAAGAAUAAGCACCGGCUAACUUCGUG
rnacentral:rRNA from 1 species